rnacentral:antisense_RNA from 1 species
UGUAGGAGUGAGCCUGCUCGCGAUAGCGUUCUGUCAGACGAUGCUGCGCCAACUGACACACUGCUAUCGCGAGCAGGCUCACUCCUACA